rnacentral:rRNA from 1 species
GACGAACGCUGGCGGCGUGCCUAAUACAUGCAAGUAGAACGCACAGUUUAUACCGUAGCUUGCUCCACCAUAGACUGUGAGUUGCGAACGGUUGAGUAACGCGUAGGUAACCUGCCUGGUAGCGGGGAUAACUAUUUGAAACGAUAGCUAAUACCUCAUAAUAUUAAUUUUUUCCUGAUAAUUAAUUGCAAGGUGCAAUUGCACCACUACCAACUGGGCCUGCGUUGUAUUAGCUAGGAGGUGAGGGAACGGCUCACCUAGGCGACGAUACGUAGCCGACCUGAGAGGGUGAUCGGCCACACUGGGACUGAGACACGGCCCAGACUCCUACGGGAGGCAGCAGUAGGGAAUCUUCGGCAAUGGACGAAAGUCUGACCGAGCAACGCCGCGUGAGUGAAGAAGGUUUUCGGAUCGUAAAGCUCUGUUGUAAGAGAAGAACGGGUGUGAGAGUGGAAAGUUCACACUGUGACGGUAUCUUACCAGAAAGGGACGGCUAACUACGUG